UUCAUUUUCCAAAUUUGAAUUGUAUUCAUCUCCCGCCCUUGUCCUAAUCGACACCACUAUCCGCCGGGCGCCGGCAAACUAUUUUUCCGGUGAAAUCGAGUUGCAUAAUUUGAUUGAGUGCGAUAAUCAUGGCAAAGAAUCUCAUUCAGAGGCCUCUUAUCUUUCAAGAUGAAAACUCGGACAUUUACUUCAAAAAGGGUUGGAUAUCUGGCAAAUCAAAGAGUGGUAAACCUGAAGCUCUUAAAAAAGGUAUCACAGGGCUUAAAAGUCGUAAUGCCCUCAAUGACAUCACGAACAAAUCAAUUGCCCUUCCUGAAGAAGCAGCAAAGAAAAAGAGUUCACAGAAGGAGGUUAAAGUUCCAAGUGAGCUUAACAUAGCAGAGGAGACAUUUCAACAUGAUCACAAAAAAUGUGUUGAGGCACAACGUUCAGGAAUCACGCGAAAACAUUUCAUGGAAUUGGUUCUGCCUGGUUGUGAUUCAGCCUCUCAUAUUGACAUACCAAAAACAGAACUGGGAAUGAAUGAUAAAGGAAUCGAUAACUCACACUGCUAUCCCGUGCCAGAAGAAUUGUCUAUGUCAGAGUUCUCUUGGUUGAAAUCUUUAUGGGAUCCAUCUUCUCCCAAGAAGAGGGAUUCUCCACCCUCCUCUCCUUCCAAGUGGGCGUUUGAGCCGGUCGAAUUUACACUUAAUGAAGAAAAAGAUUGCUGAAAUGGCCAGUGAGCUGCUCUAUUUAGUCAAUGACAUGUAUAUGAUAUUAGAUUCGAUUCCAAGUAGGAGCACAUCUCGAGGAGCAGUUUGAGUCCGAGUUUGGAGUGUCUUGGAGUUGUGGUGAGCUGCUUGGCUGUUCCGUGGCCCACACCUCCCUCUAUAUUUUUUAUUUAUUCUGUUAUUCAGUAUUCAGACAGGAUAUCCCUUAUGUUAGAUUUGCCUUUUUAGUUUCAGACUUGCAUCGUAUUUUAGAAGCUCUUGUACUCAUGACACCAUUUCUUGGGUAGUAUUUUUUUUCAGUUUUCCGCAUUCGUACUUAUAAGAACUCAGUGUUGGAGAUUUGGAAA